GACAGAGGGUGCAAACGUUGUUCGGAAUCACUGGGCGUAAAGGGUGCGUAGGCGGGUCUUUAAGUCAGGGGUGAAAUCCUGGAGCUCAACUCCAGAACUGCCUUUGAUACUGAAGAUCUUGAGUUCGGGAGAGGUGAGUGGAACUGCGAGUGUAGAGGUGAAAUUCGUAGAUAUUCGCAAGAACACCAGUGGCGAAGGCGGCUCACUGGCCCGAUACUGACGCUGAGGCACGAAAGCGUGGGGAGCAAACAGG
rnacentral:rRNA from 1 species